UUGAUAUGGUGAAAUUAUGCUAACGUACAUUGCUAGGUAGAGACUUCUGUUAUAUUCUUUUUUUUUUUUUUUGCUACGAGAGUCCACGCACCUCAACCCCUUGUAAAAAUCUCAAGCAUUAUUUGAUGGCUCCUGCACUUUCUAAUAUUGACUGUCCAUCAAGUGGAGCACUUUCAGACCGAGAAGAGUUGCAACGCUUAGAAGGCAUUGAAGAAUUGGAGAGCACCAUGGAUGCCUCUAAAGCUCUAGAGAACAAGUGUGAUCUCAGUAAACAUGAACUGCAAUCUAUGUCUAUGCUCAAUUUAUGUGAUAAUUAUUCUUUUUUUUAUAUCUAGUCUGCAAAAUUUGAGUGUUCAAGACUAUGAAAAUGUAAUCAUAGAUGAUAAGAUCAAUGACAAUGUGUACGUUGUAAUAUAUAUUUGUAUAUUGUAAAAAUAUGAAUGUAAUUUUGACAGUAUUUCUUGGGGAACAGAUGAUGAGGAAGAAGAGAAAACUGAAGGUUAUGACAGCCAAGAUGAAGAAUAUGUUGCUCGUCUUUGUAUAUGUCUACCAAUAAUCGGACUGGAUGAGAUGACAUCCUCGACACAGAGCAUCCAUCCACUGACCCACCUCCAUGUACUCAACCGCCUUGUUUUCCCUCUCUUCACUGAGGAUGACCUAAUAGGAAAACGUGCAUCCAUUGUCUUUAAGGACUGUUUAAAGCAGCUAGUAAAAUUCUUCAUGCUACCAGUACAAAAGUGCCCAUACUUCCUCCCUUUGAGGUCUCAUCAAAUCCAUGGGUACAGCAAGCAUCAUGGAAUGGGUAAGUAAUUGUAACCAUACUACACUGUAACCAUGUUUAAAGCAUAUGGCAGUGUAUUUGCUGUGAACAAGAUUUUGUGAGACUUGAUUACUCCAUUGAAAAAAUUGUUGGCCCAUUGUACAAACCCGAUUCCAAAAAAGUUGGGACACUGUACAAAUUGUGAAUAAAAACAGAAUGCAAUGAUGU